rnacentral:lncRNA from 1 species
CACCAUUGGUCUUUGGCACGGGCACACAUCUGCCUUUGGUGUCCCCAUCAUGACUUUUUUCAAUACAUAGAUUUUCUUUUGAUGAUGUUGUAGGCAAUGCUGUGCCUAGAGAGAUGCAUCCUGAGAAAAGUCAUGGCAGAACCCAUGAGGCAACCUGGAAAUCGCUUGGCAUGGCCAGGCAAAGGGGACAAAGAGACACAGAGAAAAGUAAGUAUGGAGUGAAACAUGGUGCAAGAACAUUUAGGGCCUUGUAGACCAGGCUAAGAAGUUUAGGUGUUAUCAGCAGACAAACAGG